AACAGAAUGCCUGAAAACAAUAAGGGUUACCUUGAUAGGGUAAAGCAUAUGAAGUAAUUCAUUUUUGUUA
rnacentral:tRNA from 1 species